rnacentral:rRNA from 1 species
GAUCAUGGCUCAGGAUGAACGCUGGCGGCGUGCUUAACACAUGCAAGUCGAACGGAGCUUAUUAAGAAAGCGGAGCUUGCUCCAAUGGAUUUUAAGCUUAGUGGCGGACGGGUGAGUAACGCGUGGGUAACCUGCCUUGCACAGGGGGACAACAGUUGGAAACGACUGCUAAUACCGCAUAAGCCGGUAGAACCGCAUGGUUUAUCCGGAAAAAGAUUUAUCGGUGCAAGAUGGGCCCGCGUUGGAUUAGUUAGUUGGCGGGGUAACGGCCCACCAAGACCGCGAUCCAUAGCCGACCUGAGAGGGUGAUCGGCCACAUUGGGACUGAGACACGGCCCAAACUCCUACGGGAGGCAGCAGUGGGGAAUAUUGCGCAAUGGGGGAAACCCUGACGCAGCCAACGCCGCGUGAGUGAGGAAGUAUUUCGGUAUGUAAAGCUCUAUCAGCAGGGAAGAAGAUGACGGUACCUGCAGAAGAAGUCCCGGCUAACUACGUGCCAGCAGCCGC